rnacentral:rRNA from 1 species
GGCCUUUUGGUUGUAAAGCACUUUAAGCGAGGAGGAGGCUUACCUGGUUAAUACCUGGGAUAAGUGGACGUUACUCGCAGAAUAAGCACCGGCUAACUCUGUGCCAGCAGCCGCGGUAAUACAGAGGGUGCAAGCGUUAAUCGGAUUUACUGGGCGUAAAGCGCGCGUAGGUGGCUAAUUAAGUCAAAUGUGAAAUCCCCGAGCUUAACUUGGGAAUUGCAUUCGAUACUGGUUAGCUAGAGUAUGGGAGAGGAUGGUAGAAUUCCAGGUGUAGCGGUGAAAUGCGUAGAGAUCUGGAGGAAUACCGAUGGCGAAGGCAGCCAUCUGGCCUAAUACUGACACUGAGGUGCGAAAGCAUGGGGAGCAAACAGGAUUAGAUACCCUGGUAGUCCAUGCCGUAAACGAUGUCUACUAGCCGUUGGGGCCCUUGAGGCUUUAGUGGCGCAGCUAACGCGAUAAGUAGACCGCCUGGGGAGUACGGUCGCAAGACUAAAACUCAAAUGAAUUGACGGGGGCCCGCACAAGCGGUGGAGCAUGUGGUUUAAUUCGAUGCAACGCGAAGAACCUUACCUGGCCUUGACAUACAGAGAACUUUCCAGAGAUGGAUUGGUGCCUUCGGGAACUCUGAUACAGGUGCUGCAUGGCUGUCGUCAGCUCGUGUCGUGAGAUGUUGGGUUAAGUCCCGCAACGAGCGCAACCCUUUUCCUUAUUUGCCAGCACUUCGGGUGGGAACUUUAAGGAUACUGCCAGUGACAAACUGGAGGAAGGCGGGGACGACGUCAAGUCAUCAUGGCCCUUACGGCCAGGGCUACACACGUGCUACAAUGGUCGGUACAAAGGGUUGCUACUGCGCGAGCAGAUGCUAAUCUCAAAAAGCCGAUCGUAGUCCGGAUCGCAGUCUGCAACUCGACUGCGUGAAGUCGGAAUCGCUAGUAAUCGCGGAUCAGAAUGCCGCGGUGAAUACGUUCCCGGGCCUUGUACACACCGCCCGUCACACCAUGGGAGUUUGUUGCACCAGAAGUAGGUAGUCUAACCUUAGGGAGGACGCU